CUCGUGAUCCUCCCACCUCAGCCUCCCAAAGUACUGGGAUUACAGACAUGAGCCCCUGCACCUGGCCUUGACUUAUUUUCUUAAAAUAAAUUUCCUUUAAGUUACUGGAUCAAGGGGUGUGAACAUUUUAAGGUUCUUGAAUGUAGUAUCAAAUUGCUUUGGUAAAGGAUUGUACCAAUUUACCCUGCUACCAGCAGGAUGUGGGUGUACAUUUUCAACAACUUGACAGCACCGAAUUUCAUCAUUUAAAAAAGGUUUACGAAUUGUACAUAAUUUAAUUUAAUAUAAACUAAUAAAUUACUGUGUCCAACUUUUGAGCAUGCAUAAAAUUUUUUUCCCAUUUCUUUUUUGGUGGCAUCCCUACUAUUUUGUAAACUGCUUGAGGGCAGUGAAUAAUUCAGGGAAUCCCUCCUCCCAGUAAUUCUUCAGUUUUGAUAAUAGCAGUGGGUUUUGGGUUGUUUUGUUUUCAAGAUAAACUAAAUUACCCUUUAUUUCACUGAUGUUGGCAGCCCCAGAGGACUCUGUUUGCAGGAAAAAAAUGUAUGAAGAUUUCCAUAGGUGGGAAGUAGACCUCUCCCACACAACGAGAAGAGCAGCUAAAUCAUUGCUGUUUUCUCCCAGUCUCUCCCUGCACUCCCAUCUCAUUUCCUGUCUGCUCCUGAAGAGCCAGCUCAGUAUGAACUAAGGAAAAGCUAUUUGUAGUGUGCACGGGAGGAAAAAGAACCCAAAUAGGCUCUUCCUAAGCUAUUGAGCUUAGCUUUCACUCUUUCCAGCAGGAAAAGGUUCGUGCAUGCCCAGAUGAUACUACUUGUACUUUGGUACCCAUUGAUUGGGACAGUUUGUGCCAAUGAAAAGCUGCUGUGAAUUCAGUAAUGCUUUUUAAAUAUGUAUUUUAAUUUCAAUGUCUAUAUAAAUUUCAAAAACAGCAAUAAAAAAUAUGCUUGAGACCAAUUUAUCCGGCUACACCUAUUUGGUGCAUAUUUGCAUUCUUAGAUUCCUUAAAUGUCCUCUGCACAAAGGUUAGGAAAUUGUGCCCUGACAAUAAACCAGUAUCUUAUUAGAACUAAGAGGUUAACCAGUUAAGAGGACUGGAGAAGUCACUGUUAACUCAUACUUUGUUAGUAUUUAAUACAGUAACCUGCCUCUGCUAGAAGUAAGGACUCCUCAACUUUUAAAGAUAGCUAAUUUUAGAAGUCUGCUUCCUACCUGUUCACCUUUUUCUCAUUGGUGACAGCAGCAAACAAUUAAUGGCAUUUCUUAAAUGUCUUGCUGUCUGAAAUAAGAUCUUUUUCCAAUUAAAAAGUAACAAAGGCUGCCCCUCUCCUCUGCUUCCUUCUUUGGCUGUAACAUCUUGAUAUCGCUCUCUCUGUCUCCUGUUUUAUCUAAGACUGAGCUUGUGUGAAAACAAAAUAAGUCAUAUGCUUCUAUUGGGGGGGAUUAUUUGUGACUUUGGUUUUAAAGAAAAUUUAUGCUGGUGGUUUGCAGAAAGUUGACAUAUAUCCAAGUGUUCCCUUGUCAGAGGGCAGCAGGGUCCCCAUGGGUUCAUAUCAUUGCCUGGACAAGGAGUCUUUGUACCCUGGUCAUGCCUGGGUUGUUGCAGGGAUGGGGUAACUCACUUAUUCACACUCUUUCUCCUUUCCUGUUUCCUUCAAAGACACCCUGGUCCUAGUUGACUUUACCUUAUUGUUCAAAAUUCAGCGCAACAUAUGUCAAGUUGUACAUUCUUAAACUCAAGGAAACAGAAAGGUUAUAACCUGGUGGUUUCCAAGCCUGGUUUUUCAUCAGUCUCUUGGUGAACUUUUAGAAAAUCCAUAUUCUUUUUGCCCCCACAGCCAUUCUGAUUCAUUAGGACUGCGUGUGGCCAUGGAACUGGCAUUUGGAAAAGCUCUCCUUAUGUUUCUAAUGAUCAAUCCAGUUUCAGAACACCAAGCUAACCAGACUCCCAGGAUUGUGAGAUCCAUGAGAGCCCAGAAAAUAUUUUAGGAUCCCUAGUGCGUAGCACAGAGCUUGGCAUAUGGAGGAGAAGAAUUGGCACCUGGGGCCGCCUGAUCUUCAAGGAGCAGAUUGCAGAGCAUGGUGUUGACCCAUCUGGAUACCAUGUUUGAAGUUGACAUGGCCCAGAAUUUGACUUCCACCAGUUUAAAAUACACUUCGACAGUUUUGUAUUUAACCUGUAAAUCCAGAAGCAUGACAGGGCCUUCUGGAUGGAGCACUGUGAAAUUAGCGUAUACUUCAAACCCUGUUCCCUAAAAGAUCAUGCGCUACCAUGCUCUACAUGGUAGACCUAUCUCGUAGUGUAGGCUUCAGUAGAUACUCUUUGACAAAUAAUUGGUUCUGUACUGCUGAUAAGCCUAAUAAGUGAAAGAUGGUCUUUCUCUUAAAAAAUUGAGAUAUAUGAUACCAGUCUCAUAAACUCUUAAUUCACAAGCUCUGGCAUUAUGAGAGGCACUUAAAGUAUGAAUGGCAUUAAGCUUAUCCUUUAAUUUUGCAGUAGGCAAAUGACCUCCCAAAGAUAUUCACUUCCUAAUCCCCAGAAUUUGGGAAUACGUUACCUUACAUGACAAAGGGGAUUUUACAGAUGUGAGUAAGUGAAGGAUUUUGAGACGGGGAGACUAUCCUGGAUAAUCCCAGUGGGACCCAUGUAAUCACACAAGUCCUUAAAAGUGGAGAACUUUUCCCUGCUGUGGUCACAGAAAAAAAUGCAACCAAUGUAAGAAGGGUCAGAGAGAUUCAACAUUGUUGGCUUUGAAGGUAGAGGAAGUGACCACAAGCCGAAGAAUGCAGACAGGCUCUAGAAGCUGGGAAAGAGAAGGAAACGUCUUCUCUGCAGAGCUACCAAAAUGAAUAUAUCCCUGUCUACACCUUGAUUUUAACCUGGUGAGGCCUGUAUUGGGCUUCUAACCUACAGAACUCUAAGAUAAUAACUAUAUGUUGUUGAAUCUGCUAAGUUUGUGGGAGUUGUAACAAUAGCAAUAGGAAAUUAAUACACCUUUUAUACAGUGGAGGAUGACUAAAUAAUUUAUUUUGAAAAAUACAACUGUCACAAGGAUGAAAUAUUCAUGAUCACAAAUUAGUACAUUCUUAACUGUGGAUAAUUAUGUAUGAAGCCAAAUUGUAAUAAAACUGUUAUUUGCCAAACAUAGAAACCUUGCUUUGUGACUAGGCUGAGUCCAGAAGAUUAUUCUCUCUGCUUCUACCUGUUAUGUGUCUGGGCAAGUGUAAGGCCUUUGCAGGUGAAUCUGGUAGAGAACAUGCUAAGAAUGAGCAGCAGUCAUGCACGACUCUAUCACUGAAAGCCUUCUAGUCAUUUCAUAGCUUCACUUCCCUGGUUUUAUUUUUUCAGAGAGGACUGAAGGAGAUGAAUGGAUAAUAAA